UACAGAGGUCUCAAGCGUUGUUCGGAUUCACUGGGCGUAAAGGGUGCGUAGGUGGCCAGGUAAGUUCGGUGUGAAAGCUCGGAGCUUAACUCCGAAAUGGCAUUGAAUACUAUCUGGCUAGAGGGUCGGAGGGGAGACUGGAAUUCUCGGUGUAACAGUGAAAUGCGUAGAUAUCGAGAGGAACACCAGUGGCGAAGGCGAGUCUCUGGACGACUCCUGACACUGAGGCACGAAAGCCAGGGGAGCAAACAGG
rnacentral:rRNA from 1 species